rnacentral:rRNA from 1 species
CGGGGUGAGUAAUGUCUGGGAAACUGCCCGAUGGAGGGGGGUAACUACUGGAAACGGUAGCUAAUACCGCAUAACGUCGCAAGACCAAAGAGGGGGACCUUAGGGCCUCUUGCCAUCGGAUGUGCCCAGAUGGGAUUAGCUAGUAGGUGGGGUAAUGGCUCACCUAGGCGACGAUCCCUAGCUGGUCUGAGAGGAUGAUCAGCCACACUGGGACUGAGACACGGCCCAG